rnacentral:rRNA from 1 species
AUUGAACGCUGGCGGCAGGCCUAACACAUGCAAGUCGAACGAGUGGCGGACGGGUGAGUAAUGUCUGGGAAACUGCCUGAUGGAGGGGGAUAACUACUGGAAACGGUAGCUAAUACCGCAUACCAUCGGAUGUGCCCAGAGGGGAUUAGCUAGUAGGUGGGGUAAAGGCUCACCUAGGCGACGAUCCCUAGCUGGUCUGAGAGGCUGACCAGCCACACUGGAACUGAGACACGGUCCAGUCUCCAACGGGAGGCAGCAGUGGUGAAUAUUCGACAAUGGUCGCAAGCCUGAUGCAGCCAUGCCGCGUGGAUGAAGAAGGCCUUCGGGUUGUAAAGUACUGUCAGCGGGGAGGCGGUAUCCGCAGAGGAAGCACCGGCUAACUCCGUGCCAGCAGCCGCGGUAAUUC